UUUUUUCUUUUUAGGCAGCAUCCAUGACAUAUGGAAGUUCCCGGGCCAGGGAUCAAAUCCAAGCAGAGAUGUGCCCUAUGCCAUAGUAACUCAGGAUCCUUAAUCCACUGCCCCACUGCACCAGGAUCAAACAGGGUGCCUCCACAAAGACAAGACAGAUCAUUAGCUCACUGUGCCACCGCUGAACUCCCAAACAGAUUUCUUAACCUCUCUGUUUCUGUUGUAGCAUGUGUAAAAUGAAGAUGAUAAUAGUGCACAUACCUCAUAGAUUUAGUUGGAGAGCAAAUGAGUUAAUAUACUUAAAGCUUAGACUAGCUUUGGCACAUAAUAAAAUCAGAAGAAAUAUUAGCUAACAUUAAUAUUAGUAAUAGAGUUCAAACAAGAACAAAUGACCAAAUAAACUUGAGUAAUGUAAAUUAUUAUCCUUAUCAGUUUUUAAUCUUAAGUGCUAACCGCUGUGCUAGUAGCAAUAGGGCCAAAACUGUUAUUACAUUAGGUUAUUAAAUUUAGGCUCUAGCCUAUUUACAAAAUAGACUUCAACUAGAUCACUUAUGAAUAAAUUAUAAGUAUUUUACUUCCUCAAUUGCAGUUGCAUUUGCAAACUCAUGAAGCAAUCCUGAUGUAUUAAUUAAGUUACAUGAUACUUGGAAAUUCUGAGUUCUCAGUUUCCCAGUUCUCAUUUUAGUUAUGACUAGAGAAUACAGAAUUAAAGAAUUAUUACAGGAGAAUAUUAAUCAAGGAAAUAAUUUCUCACACAAAAGAAAUAUACUUAUUAAAAUUCAUAUCCUAAACUUUUCUAGUAUUGUUAAACUGAGUACUCAUAUACAAAAUCAUCGAAUAAUUUAAUCUUUUCAAAAUUAUUGUGUAAUCAAACUAAACCACAGUAUCCUUUGCAAUUUUUUUCUCUUUUAAAUAUGAUAUAAGAGCCCCCACUGUGGCACAAUGGGUUCAUGGUGUCUUGGGAGCACUGGGACUGGGGUUCGAUCCCCAGCCCGGCACAGUGGCUUAAGGAUCCAGUGUUGCUGCAGCUGCAGCUUAGGUUGAGACUGUGGCCCAGAUCUGAUCCCUGGUCCGGGACCUCCUCAUGCCACAUGGUGGCCAAAAACGGAAAAAAAAAAAAAAAAGCUAUAAACAAUUUGGCAUUAAGCUCAUAAAUUGCCAGUAUUUGUUGUAAUUUUAAUUUUUAGAACUAUCUUGCACUUAGGCAAAAAUUAUCUCCAAACUAAAACCAUUCUGAAAAGUGUUACAUAAAAACUGAAUAACUAAACAGAUUUAUUUUGGUACAUUAUCUACAACCUUUAAUAGGAUAAUGAGAUGAUCUGUCAACAAACAGAGCAGAUAAGUUAAAUAUUAUAAAUUGAAUUGUGUCUCCCAAAAAGGUAUGGUGAAGACCUAAUCCCUCAGGCCUAUGAAUGCGGCCUUUUUGCAAGAUCCUUGCAGAUGUUAUCAAGUUAAGACGAGGUCAUUUACAGUGGAUCCUAAUCAAAUUUGAUUGAUGUCCUUAUAAAAUAGGGACAUUUAAACAUAAACACAUGGAGGAGGACACCAUGUGAAGACAGCCAUGUGCAGAGAGAGACUGUAGUGAUGCUGCCACAAACCAUCCAAUGCCUGAAGCUACCAGAACUUGGAAAAGGAAAAGAAGAAAUCAUCCCCAGAGGCUUAAAAGAAGCAUGGCCUUGUGGACACCUGUUUCAUACUUCUUACCUCCAGAACUGAGAGAGAAUAAAUUUCUUUUGUUUAAUCCACCCAGUGUGUGUUACUUUGUUACCACAGCCCAAGGAAAUAAAUACACCACGACUGUUUUGCUGUGUAUUUUUUAGCAUUAGAUGGAAUAAAAAUAACGAUUUUCAUACAUGCUAACUUAACAAGAUUAACGCAUGUGAAUGGGUUCCAGAUGAAAGUAAAAAAUAAAAUUCUUUGAGAGUCUUUUCACCAAAUUAAAACUGCGAAGACAAGCAAGAAAAGUCAAUAUGGAAGGAAGGACCAGUUGGUUGGAAAGAUACCUGAAGUACUGGAGAUACAAAUUUUUAGGAAGAGUAUCAACUCCUAGGGGAAAAAAUGACAUCAAAAUAAUGUAUUUCCUUUCCCAUCUUUCCUAUGUUUACCCUUAUAUCUGUAUUUAUUUUUAGGCCUUCACAUACAUGUUAAAACUCUAUGAUAUCAUAACAAAAUUGGCAUAGUGUAUAGCAGGCACUCCAGGACAAUUCUUGAAUUACAUCAUAUUAUUCUGGUUACAAAGUGAUAUUAAGUUCCCCCAAUUAUAAUUCUCACUAUAGAAACAAAACUGGGAUGUCAGAUUUAGUUAACAACAAUCAAUUCUUUGUUUUAGUUUUCGCUUCCUUAAAUGUUGUGCAGGAAAAAGCUAUUUUAUUAAGAGGAUAUAAAUACCAACAAUUCAGAGCGUUCUUCAAGGCAGAAAAACAAAAAAAUCUCUAAAACACACCCUGGUAUUUCUUUGUCAAAAAAUUACCUUCAAAACAGAUAUCCAGCAAUAAUUUGUUCUACCUCUUCUAUCUAUAAGCAAAGUCUUACGGGGUUUUUCUGUUUUUCUGUUUUCAAAAUUUUUUCUAUUUAAAAAUUUUUUUUUUUGGCUGUACUCAUGGCAUAUUCCCAGGCCAGGGACUGAACCAAUGUCACAGCAAUGACCUGAGCCACUGCAGUGACAAUGUCAGAUUCUUAACCAGUUGUGCCACAAGGAAACUCCACUGUUUUAAUUUUUAUUUAAAUAUAGUUGAUUUACAAUAUUGUGUUAGUUUCAGGUAUGCAGCAGAGCAAUUCAAUUACAUGUGUAUAUAUAUAUAAAUAUAUAGUAUUUUACAUUCUCUUCCAUUACAGCUCAUUAGAAGAUAUCGAGUAUAGUUUUCUGUGUUUUCUUUUUUUCUUUCUUUCUUUCUCUCUCUCUCUUUUUUUUUUUUUUUCUUUUUUUUUUGGUCUUUUUAGGACCGCACCCCCGGCACAUGGAGGUUCUCAGGCUAGGGGUCGAGUCAGAGCUGUAGCUGCCGGCCUACACCACAGCCAUGGCAAUGCUGGAUCCUUAACACACUGAGUGAGGCCAGGCAUGCUAGUCAGGUUCAUUAACCUCUGAGCCAUGACAGGAACUCCCCCUGUGUCUUCUUAAUUGAACUAUUUUUUGUAAAAUCGCUUUCAAAUUCUCAUAAGCUUUUGCAUAUUAAUGGGAUAGAAAUGUGCAGCACUAAAACCACUCCCACUGAUUCAGAAUUUUUCUAAAGUCCUAUUUCUAACCUGUUCUCAACGGAGCAAAGGAGCCUGGUGAUGACAGAGUCC
rnacentral:lncRNA from 1 species